rnacentral:ribozyme from 1 species
UUUUUUUUUUUUUUUUUUUUUUUUUUUUUUUUUUUUUUUCGGA